AAAAAAAAAAAAAAAAAAAAAAACCAAAGGAACAAAAGUAAUUAAAUAAAUGUACUAAACAAAUUACAACAAUGAAGAAUGAUUGUAGUACUUAAAAAAAUGGCGAUGCGACGAUGAACAAAAAAAAAUAAGUGCGAACUAUAAUAACAUUGUAGAACGAACAUGAAUCUAUAUCAUAUACCUAAUCCUAAAAUCUAAAACCUAAUCUCUAUCCUAGAGCUCUUUGAAACUUUUCUCUCUUCCUUCUUACUUAAGUAAAACCAAAUAAUCGCCCAUUGCAAACUUUCACGGCUGAGACUAAAUUGCAUUAAUCCUCUUUGAGCGUACGUCCUUGCUGCACUGAAUGCAUUUCUAAGAGGCCAAUGCAGUUGCCGUGCCAGAAAGGUUGUGCAACAAGUGGAACAAGAACGGACAAAAAAGAGACGAUAAAAAGUUUAGGAAACAGUUUUGAAGAAAAAAAAAAGAAACGCGUGAGAUUAAUCAGUUUACGUCGGCUUAAUGCGAAUUUAUACUUGCGUAACUUUACUAUUUGCGAAUUGAAUACGACGAUGAAGGAAAAGAAAAGAAAAAAAGGGAAAAGAGAUAGCUGUAACUAUAUGAUCAUAGUCAUUGUUCAAUUUGAUUUUCAUAGUCGUCACUGUUAUUAUUAUUGUCAGGAUUAUUAGCAUUUUUAAUAAUCUUUUUAUCAUAAUCAUUUUUUAUAUUUUCUUUUAUUAUCAUUAUCGUUAUCACCGUUACUGCUGCUAACCCGAUCACUACUACUAUUACAGCUACUACUAUCUACUAUCUACUAUCUACUACUUGACUAUCACCAUUAUCGCCACUAUUAGGAAUUAAUAGUUUAAAAUCUUAAAUAAUUUAUUAAGACAAGGACUUUAAUCUACAUUAUCCAAUGGUUAUCACCAUCUAGUUGUUAUACGAAAUGACCAAAGAUUACCAACUAACUGUACCAAAUUAGAUGAUAGCGACUACGAAUCGUGGAAGCACUUUUAAAGGAAAACAAUGGAUUUUGCAUCGAAAGAAUUCAAAGUCCCAAAAACGUGUUUGCAAGAAUGUGAAUAAAUUUUUUUUUUUUGUAUUUUUAAGUAAAAACAAACAGUCGCUCUCAUCCCAGUGUCAAUGAUGACGUUGUUGCAAUUUGAUAUUUAACAUCGAUAUACAAUGAUAGCUUUGUGCACAUGACAGAACAACUGUUGUCACUCUGUAUGGUUGUAAUGUUAUAGACUGUCGAUACCUAUUGAUACCUAUUGAUACCUAUUGAUUCCAUAAUGGCACGUAUAAACGCACCUUGGGAUGGAACGAGCACAGAGUUAUUUCGAUUAACGUCCGGUUGCACAGACUGAAAUAAAAUUGAAUUUGAAAUCGAUAGAAUGACUUUAUCGAAUUUAAUGCCAAUUCAAUUGCGUAUAAAGGUCCAAUGCGAAUUUGGCCCAUGUGAACCGGAUUGAUUGCACAUUAGCAUUAAUUAAGUGCGAUUUAAAGUCGUUAUCGCGAUUUACCUACUUUACCGAAAUUGAAGUUAAUUAAUUAUCGUGUCAUUUAAUUAGAAUACACGGUACUUGAGUAUUGACUCUUUUGUUUUUGUACAUACCAAAAUAUUUGCCAAGAUCGCAAGCCUGACGAAUUAACCAGGAAUUGCAGUGUGCGAUUCUUUCGAUGCAAUUCCGAACUAGGUAUAGGUUUACGAGAGUGAUACAGGGUGUUUCAUAUUAAAACUCCGUAUUGCUAUUCAUGGACGGUAAAUAUGUAACACACGAUAUUUGUCGGCGUACACUCUUUUAAUGACAUCGAGAUAAGUAAGCUUGAAGAGACUAUAAGACCAGAGCACGAGUCGAUCUUAAUGUUCGAUCGGCGAACGACGACGCAACGCAAUUCCAGAUGACGAACCCUCGUAAAUGCAUUCGUUACUUCUAAUGUAUAUUCAUUGUUGUACUACGUACAAUGGCGUUGCGCUAGUUUAUUGCAAUCUAUACAGUAUUGAUUGGCAAUUUGUCUUUGUAUGACAAAAUGAAAAGGUCCUUCGUAAAUGAUAACAGAAAAAGUUGCUUGGGUAUCUGAAUUUUUUGCGCAGCGAAUCUUUAUAGUAGCUUAUGACGUUAUCAGUCGAAAUCGAUGCUGCAUCAUAGGAGGGGGUGAUAGUGAUGAUUUUUUUUACAUGCAGAAAAUAUUUUCCGAUUUAAGAAAAAAAAAAAAUACUUUUUUCGGGGCUCAAUAAUGUCGCGAAAUAUGAGGUUGAGUGCACCUGAAAGAAAUUAAUUUAAUUGGAAUUAAAUGAAACAAAAAUUGCAGCGGUUUAGAGGAAAGUGAAGACAGCGUUGCGUUGGUCGUAUACCUUUUGACUACUGCGGGUACAUACCAAUGUGCACUCAAUGUAACACGUUUACUGUGACCUGUAGGUGCAUAAGUGCACACUCGGUGUAAAACAAGUGCACAUGCACUCACAGUUAGAACACUUUUUGGUUGUGCUGUUCCACACUCGAAGGGUCGGCAAAAAAAAUAUCCCUUUUUUUAAAGAUAGUCAAAAUUGAAAAACGUGAUUUUGCAAAAAAAAAUUUAUUUUCAAAAAACUCUGUUCUCUCUGUCAGUGUUUUACCAGGUCAGUAUUUGCAAAGUUUUGUGAAAGAAAAUCAAUGUGUUCGAGCACAAAUAUGUUCCAUGACAGUGAACGGAUCCGAUGAUAUAAUUAUUUAAAAAAUUCUAAAGCACGGUGCACUCUAAUAAUUACGAAAAAAAAUCUGCACGCUCAAAAACGCAUUUUUGACUUUUCGAGAUGCAAACAACAACAAACGUUACGAUACAAUUGGGCGAUGCGAAAUCUGCCAGCCAAAAAGAAAGUGGUCCAAUUCGCGUUAAAUGUUCAUUGUACUACUUUAUCGGGUUGUCUAACGUUUUCGCGUUGUUUAAAUUGAGUCAAGUAUUAUACUUAAAAAAAAAAACAAGAAAAAACGUAACCUAAAAGACCUAGAAAAAAAAAGACCUAUAAAGACUAACGAUCCCGAGGAGCUUUGGAUCCAUAUGUAUAAGGCCGCCAUAUGUCUGACUGUCGUUUCAACCACUCGCGAACUUUGAACGUUACUUUCACAUUUCUUCCGCUUGAAAUGCACCGUAAAUCUCGAUGCGAUUUAAGAGUCGAAAACUUGUUUUAUGUGAAAAAGAUAAAAAUUUUUUCAGAGUUUCACAUUCGACAUCAAUUCAGACGUUCGCGUCGAAUAAUUCCCGGCCAUAAAUUACCAACUCAUUGUCAUCUCAUUUACGUUCACCAAGCAGAUGGGUCCACGAUAAAACAACAUAUGGGUACAAACUUAGAGAUACUAAACCACGAUUCUCAUGCGAGCAUAAAGAUUUUUCUAAAUCACAAAGUACGAAUCGGUUUAUUAAACGCUGUCCGAUUCCUAUGAGCGAUUUUACCAAGAAUCGCUAAGCGGCCAAUCGCAUUGCGUCGUCGAGAGCGAACGACCAAUGGGAAGCGUGCACGACACGUCAGAGACAAACACGAAAAAUACACAAACACAAUAAGCUCUUCAAGUCUAAACGUCAAAAAGUGGUAUCUGUAUAUAUGUGUUAAUGUAAAAGUACUAUAUUUGUACAUAUUGUUAAGUAGUUUUUAAUGACGUAUUAAAAAAAAAAAACAUUAAAUAAAAAAGAAGUAAUGUAAUAAAGGCUAUGUGAAAUUACGUAACGACAUAUUCAAUGUUUAUCACAGACGAAGUUUAAGAUCUCGUUCACACCGAAGCGACUGUAGGCUGACAUUUGAAUUGAGAGCGAGUACAAGAACAAAAGCAGUAACACCGAUGGUAAAGCAGCAAAGCUCAAUUGAACCGGAUUAAAGUGACAAAAUGCACAAGAAAAAUGUGUUCAUGCAGAAACAAACCCAAAUUCAUCCCCAUUGCCGCCACAAAGAUUUGCUUGUCUUGAUUUCUACUUUUGUUCUUGUACUAAAUAUCGGCAACAAGAAAAAAGAAAAUUUACAAUAAUUUUAGUACUUUGCCAUAUACGUAUGUAAAUGCUCUCUUUCAAUUUGAAUCAGGCCAAAAAGACCGCGCAAAACGAUGAUGUUCCACUGAUCGCGAAUUCGUUUUAAUUGUCGAUUUUACUGAUUACAAAUUAUCGAUUACUGCUAGCGUGCCUGAGUAGUUAAGUACAUUUAAAUUAGAGCGUUAAUUGAGGGCUUAAUUUAUUAAGAGUACGAAGAAAAUUUUGAAUACGUUUUUAUUUUUAAAAAAUUCGAAAGUCCCGAUUUAGCCGUUAAGUCAAGAACAGAGAAUUCACGCGAGCAGAUAUUUAACGUUGUCGAAUAAAUUUGUUAACGCACGUAACAUUGACAUUGUCAAUUUUCAAUGUAAACGAUACAUACAUAUGUAAAGUUAUAAUUUCUUUCGUAAUCACAGGUGAAAGAGAAUAUCAAUAAGUUUAUGCUAGUGGCGACGCACGUUCUUUCGUAGAGAAGAAUUAUAUAUGAUGUAAUUUCCGAAAUUAGGUCGAAACCAUAAAAUAAUACCGAUGUCCGAUCUAUGAACGAUAUAUUUUAUAAUUACGUCACUUACUUUUCAUUUUCCCGCAAAAUUCAUACUACUCGACUUGCGUCGUAGUUCACGUAAACGCGGUAGUCACUAUAACCUAUUGGGAUAAAAAAAUAUUUUUUCAUUAAGGGUUACAUUGAAUUCAGAUGUCCUAGGAUGAAAAUUUAAGGAAUAAAAAUAAUUGCGGAUAACGUCAUGUGUGUAUUGUACGCGUGGACGGGGAUUCGGAUUCAUAAUUUACGUAACGAAGACAAUUAGACAGAAAAAUUAUGUAAAGAAAAGUUUCUAUCAAUUUUCAUGGUGAGAUAAACGUUUACAUUAUUCUAGGCAGUACGAAUUGAGCUAUCGAACGUUGCUAUCGUUUUCGCAGUUGGUUGAACGGCUAAUGAAAAAGAGGCAGUUAAGGCAAUAUUAUUCUCAUUAGUUAAUGUCACACGUCCACGCGCACUCGGUGGCACGUAUGUACUACGUAGCUACUAGAAUGUAAUUGUAAAUUUUUGAAGUGUGAUAAUCGAUGCUCGAAAUUAUGUUUUUCCAACUAUUAUUACGGUUAUUAUACACAUAUCUUUUGUAGUACAUUUUAAUGCCAAACACAGAUAUGGUACAGUACAACGUUAUCCGAUGCCGUUGUCCAUUUUGUGAUGGAAAUUUCGGUCGAAAUGGCCGAUUACUAAGUUUGGAUUACGAUUUGUUGGAAAUAAAAAUUGUUUUUCAAAGUAA